rnacentral:misc_RNA from 1 species
AUGAAGAACGUAGCGAAAUGCGAUAAGUAGUGUGAAUUGCAGAAUUCAGUGAAUCAUCGAAUCUUUGAACGCACAUUGCGCCCCUUGGUAUUCCAUGGGGCAUGCCUGUUCGAGCGUCAUUUGUACCUUCAAGCUUUGCUUGGUGUUGGGUGUUUGUCUCGCCUUUGCGUGUAGACUCGCCUUAAAAUAAUUGGCAGCCGGCGUAUUGAUUUCGGAGCGCAGUACAUCUCGCGCUUUGCACUCAUAACGACAGCGUCCAAAAGUACAUUUUACACUCUUGACCUCGGAUCGGGUAGGGAUACCCGCUGAACUUAAGCAUAUCAAUAAGCGGAGGA